GGGAGUGAGACUGCGGGCGACAAGGUCCGUAGUCGAGAGGGAAACAGCCCGGACCUCCGGCCAAGGCCCCAAAGCCAUGCUGAGUGUGAAAUGAGGUGCGGAUGCGCAGACAGCCAGGAGGUUGGCUCAGAAGCAGCCAUUCCUUGAAAGAGUGCGUAACAGCUCACUGGUCGAGCAUCCGCGCGCAGACAAUGUAGCGGGGCUAAGCAUGGCGCCGAAGCCGCGGAUUCGCGCCUUAUGGCGCGACUGGUAGGGGAGCAUUCCGCUGACCCAUGAAGGCGCGUCGCGCGAGGGGCGCUGGAGGAGGCGGAAGAGAGAAUGCAGGCAUAAGUAACGAAAAGACGGGUGCGAUCCCCGUCCGCCGGAAGACCCGAGGUUUCCAGGGUAAAGCGCAAUCUGCCCUGGGUAAGCCGGCCCCUAAGGCAAGGGCGAAAGCCGUAGCCGAUGGGAAAUCGGUUCAUAGUCCGAUGCUUCCCCAUGUUUCGAGGGCAGGACGCAUGAGGCGAGGCCAGGCCGGAGAACGGUAGUUCCGGCCGGAGCGGCCAGGCGUCGAGGGCGGCAGGCAAAUCCACCGCCUGAGCCGAGCCGUGAGCGAGCGGAGAGAAAGUCGAAGCGAAGCUGGCGCAGCCAUGGUGCCGGGAAAUACUGUCUAAAGGCACAGGCAUGGGGGAACCGUACCCCAAACCGACACACGCGUGGUGUAGGAUGAGAAAUCCGAGGCGCACGAGCGACCUCGCGUUAAGGAACUCGGCAAAAUGCGCACGUAACUUCGGGAGAAGUGCGGCUCAUGUUAGAGAUGAUAAUGAGCGGCAGAAAGCAGGCUCAGGCGACUGUUUAUCAAAAACACAGCCAUCU
rnacentral:rRNA from 1 species